ACGUGUUGAUGACACGCAGCUGGAGCACCCUUCUGAUAAACCUCAGCAGUGUAAUGUGGUUUGAAAGGUGGGAUUUUAUUGAAAUCACCUCCAGCCAUGACGAAGAGACGUGUAACACUAUAAAUCUCUAAAAGGUGUCCACUGUUUCACGAUGGAAGCUUCUUUAAAGGGAUUUCAGCGCUGCGCAUCUUGAGUUGACAAACAACAAGGCGACAUCAUGUCCGAGCCCGCAUCACUUCCAUCAUCCUCCGUGUCGUCGCCAUCUGCUCUAACACCUGAACACCUGCUCGAAGCGCCGCGUCCACCCACCUGGUCGAGGCCCACCGCCGCCUCCAGUCCUCCCCGCGGCUCCUCACUGGUUCUCCAUGAUGAGCCCGUCAGCCCCACAGGUUACACACCGGUUCGUCACUCGGGUUCAUCGGUUCCACGCUGGUUCUGAAUCUGUGCCGAGAAAACACGAGCAGUGUCGAGUCAGCGGAAAUAUACGACAUCCGGCCAGAGAUCUUCACAAUAAAACUCAGAUUUUUGAGAUAUUUUUGAUUGUAUUUAUCUAAGAACAUUGUUUUAUUCCUGACGGUUAAAUCCAUUUGAUUAGUUUUUAAUUUAUUUUACUUAUGUUAGUAGGCAGGGUGUUAGGGUGACGUGGUGUUCUGUCACAAAGAGGGUGAGGGGUUGUUAGAGGAAGACUUUUUAUUUUUAUUUUAAAAAAAAAAUCUUGGUACAUUUAUUUGUACUUUUUUGAGCAAAACUGGUUUCCGAAUAAAACAAAAAAACUACUUGCA